rnacentral:ncRNA from 1 species
GCAGAGUAGAGGCGCGCGCGUGAAGUGUCUCCCGGACGGGGAGUUGUCGGGAGAACGAAAACUUUGGUUGCGGUGUGCGCUUCGCAUCCCACUG